rnacentral:rRNA from 1 species
ACGAACGCUGGCGGCGUGCUUAACACAUGCAAGUCGAACGGAAAGGCCUGCUUUCCCUUGUGGAUUGCGGGUACUCGAGUGGCGAACGGGUGAGUAACACGUGAGUGAUCUGCCCCCAACUUGGGUAUAAGCCUGGGAAACUGGGUCUAAUUCCCGAUAGGACUGCAGGGUGGUGCCUGUGGUGGAAAACGAUUUUCUAGUGGUUGGGGAUGAGCUCGCGGCCUAUCAGCUUGUUGGUGGGGUAAUGGCCUACCAAGGCGGCGACGGGUAGCCGGCCUGAGAGGGUGGACGGCCACAUUGGGACUGAGAGACGGCCCAGACUCCUACGGGAGGCAGCAGUGGGGAAUAUUGCACAAUGGGCGGAAGCCUGAUGCAGCGACGCCGCGUGGGGGAUGACGGCCUUCGGGUUGUAAACUCCUUUCGACCGCGAGGAAGCCACCUGGUUGGAAGGGUGGUGACGGUAGUGGUAGAAGAAGCACCGGCUAACUACGUG